rnacentral:rRNA from 1 species
GAUGAACGCUGGCGGCGUGCCUAAUACAUGCAAGUCGAGCGAACGGACGAGACGCUUGCUUCUCUGAUGUUAGCGGCGGACGGGUGAGUAACACGUGGAUAACCUACCUAUAAGACUGGGAUAACUUCGGGAAACCGUAGCUAAUACCGGAUAAUAUUUUGAACCGCAUGGUUCAAAAGUGAAAGACGGUCUUGCUGUCACUUAUAGCUGGAUCCGCGCUGCAUUAGCUAGUUGGUAAGGUAACGGCUUACCAAGGCAACGAUGCAUAGCCGACCUGAGAGGGUGAUAGGCCACACUGGAACUGAGACACGGUCCAGACUCCUACGGGAGGCAGCAGUAGGGAAUCUUCCGCAAUGGGCGAAAGCCUGACGGAGCAACGCCGCGUGAGUGAUGAAGGUCUUCGGAUCGUAAAACUCUGUUAUUAGGGAAGAACAUAUGUGUAAGUAACUGUGCACAGCUUGACGGUACCUAAUCAGAAAGCCACGGCUAACUACGUG